CCUUCGAUAGCUCAGUUGGAAGAGCGCAAGACUGUAAAUCUUGAUGUCGCUGGUUCGAUCCCGGCUCGAAGGA